AUACGGAGGAUCCGAGCGUUAUCCGGAUUUAUUGGGUUUAAAGGGAGUGUAGGCGGGAGAUCAAGUCAGCUGUGAAAUGUAGAUGCUCAACAUCUGCACUGCAGUUGAAACUGGUUUUCUUGAGUGCGUAAGGGGCAGGCGGAAUUCGUCGUGUAGCGGUGAAAUGCUUAGAUAUGACGAAGAACUCCGAUUGCGUAGGCAGCUUACUAAACCAUAACUGACGCUCAUGCACGAAGGCGUGGGGAUCAAACAGGAUUAGAUACCCUGGUAGUCCACGCGGUAAACGAUGAUUACUGGCUGUUUGCGAUACACAGUAAGCGGCCCAGCGAAAGCGUUAAGUAAUCCACCUGGGGAGUACGUUCGCAAGAAUGAAACUCAAAUGAAUUGACGGGG
rnacentral:rRNA from 1 species